rnacentral:lncRNA from 1 species
GGAGCAGCACCCGGCUGGCGCUGGCCGGCCGGCGCCGGGGACUUUCUUCCGCCUGGCCAGACAGAUCCCUGUUUUUUGUUUUUCAAAAUUCAGAAAGCAUCUCCGAAUAUUUGCCCAGAGGAGUGUGAAACAUACUUUCCUGGAGUUGUAAGACGUUCAUCGCCGUGUUAUCCUUGAGUAAAGAAGCGGGCUUUUGCCAUGUUGUCCAGGCUGGUCUCUACUCCUGGGCUCAAGCAGUCCUCCUGCCUCAGUCUCCCAAAGUGCUGGAAUUACAGGGAAUGAACUCUGGAAGCCCAGCCAGGGACAAUGCACCUUCACAGAGAUUCUGCACUAAUCUGAGUGAAGGUCUAAGGUUUGGAAUCUCCCCCUCAUGGAGAGAAGCUUUGUAUGGCUGUCAUGCUUAGACAGUGAUUCCUGCAACUUGACCUUCAGGCUGGGAGAGGUGGAGAGCCAUGCCUGUUCUCCUUCCUUGCUAUGGAAUUUGCUGACACAAUAUCUUCCGCCUGGUGCUGGGCAUAUCCUAAGAACUUACAACUUUCCUGUAUUAUCCUGUGUGAGCAGCUGUCACCUUAUUGGGGGAAAAAUGCCUGAAAAUUAGGGGGCACUUCAAGUAGAUAGCUUCUAUUUCCUAUAUUUGUCUUAUAUACAAGUAUUUGCUUUUAUCAAAAUAAUUCCAAUAAAGCAUUUUAAAGUAAAGAA